AUUGAACGCUGGCGGCAGGCCUAACACAUGCAAGUCGAGCGGAUGAAGGGAGCUUGCUCCUGGAUUCAGCGGCGGACGGGAGAGUAAUGCCUAGGAAUCUGCCUGGUAGUGGGGGAUAACGUCCGGAAACGGGCGCUAAUACCGCAUACGUCCUGAGGGCGAAAGUUGGGGAUCUUCGGACCUCACGCUAUCAGAUGAGCCUAGGUCGGAUUAGCUAGUUGGUGGGGUAAAUGCCUACCAAGGCGACGAUCCGUAACUGGUCUGAGAGGAUGAUCAGGCACACUUGGAGUGAGACACGGUACAGACAACUACAGGAGGCCGCAGUGGGAAAUAUUGGACAAUGGGCGAAAGCCUGAUCCAGCCAUGCCGCGUGUGUGAAGAAGGUCUUCGGAUUGUAAAGCACUUUAAGUUGGGGGGAAGGGCAGUAAGUUAAUACCUUGCUGUUUUGACGGUACCAACAGAAUAAGCACCGGCUAACUUCGUG
rnacentral:rRNA from 1 species